rnacentral:rRNA from 1 species
GACGAACGCUGGCGGCGUGCUUAACACAUGCAAGUCGAACGGAAAGGCCCUGCUUGCAGGGUACCCGAGUGGCGAACGGGUGAGUAACACGUGGGUGAUCUGCCCUGCACUUCGGGAUAAGCCUGGGUAACUGGGUCUAAUACCGGACAGGAGCCAUUUCUCGUGUGAUUGUUGGAGAGUUUUUUCGGUGUAGGAUGAGGUUGCGGCCCAUCAGCUUGUUGGUGGUGUAAUGGCCUACCAAGGCGGCGACGGGUAGCCGGCGCGAGAGGGUGGACGGGCACAUUGAGACUGGGAUACGGCCCAGACCCCUACGGGAGGCAGCAGUGGGGAAUGGUGAACAAUGGGCGCAAGCCUGAUGCAGCGACGCCGCGUGGGGGAUGACGGCCUUCGGGUUGUAAACUCCUUUCGCUAUGGACGAAGCAUUUUGUGACGGUACCUGGAUAAGAAGCACCGGCUAACUACGUG